AAUGAUGGGAAUUUAAACCCCUUCCAGAGUAACAAUUGGAGGGCAAGUCUGGUGCCAGCAGCCGCGGUAAUUCCAGCUCCAAUAGCGUAUAUUAAAAUUGUUGCAGUUAAAAAGCUCGUAGUUGAAUUUCUGCUGCAUCGCUGUGUCCCUUCGGGGUCUCUGCAUGUGGCUUAUUUCGGACGGAGUUCGCUAUGUCUGGAUGUUUACUUUGAGAAAAUUAGAGUGCUCAAAGCAGGCUUUUGCCUUAA
rnacentral:rRNA from 1 species